GUGCCAGCUCCGCGGUAAUACCGGCAGCCCGAGUGAUGGCCGAUCUUAUUGGGCCUAAAGCGUCCGUAGCUGGCCUCGCAAGUCCGUCGGGAAAUCCAUCAGCCCAACUGAUGGGCGUCCGGCGGAAACUACAAGGCUUGGGACCGGAAGGCUCGAGGGGUACGUCCGGGGUAGGAGUGAAAUCCCGUAAUCCCGCACGGACCACCGAUGGCGAAAGCACCUCGAGAAGACGGCUCCGACGGUGAGGGACGAAGGCCAGGGUCUCGAACCGGAUUAGAAACCCUUGUAGUCC
rnacentral:rRNA from 1 species